rnacentral:lncRNA from 1 species
ACUAUGUAAAACUGUUUUACUCUACUGUCUUUCUAUCUUGGCCCCUUAGCAAAAAUACCAACCUGGAUUAAUGAAUAUAGUUAAUAAUUUCCAUUGGUAUUUCCAGGAGUUGUAGCUGCAUACUACUGGAGAAAAUGUAUAAACAAACCAAUUGAUUCCUCUAUUAAUCUAAUUUUAUUUAGGUCUUAAUGCCUACAAGAUACUCUUGUGAUACUACUUUAGUCAGAUUCUUUUCCCUUUUGGCACAGAAAGGCACAUCUAAACAUUUCUCCUC